CCGCCCCGCACGCCGUGCCGGCGGUGCCGUGCGCUCGCUCUCCGCCGCCCUGCCCCGCCUCGGUGCGCCCCGCUACCGCCUCGGUCUGCCCUGUUUGCUUCAGUCGGGGCUUCCCCCCGCAGCACCCCCUCACAGCGUCCCCUCUCCGUUUGCCCUCAGAUGUCUCAGGUGCCUGCUCCCGGUGCCCCCUCAUAAUCUCCCUUCAGUCCCCUCAGAGUGCAUUUCUCUCCCUCCCACCCACAAAGUCCUCGCCUGGUCUUUCCUGUUUGCUCCCCCUCAGGACCCAGAGCUGUCCCCUCACAGUGUUCCGACUCCCCUCAGAUGUCUGUUCCACCCUCACAGCGUCCCCCGCAGUCUCCCCUCAGUCCCACCAGAGAUGUCUCAGUGCUCCGCUCACGGCGACCCCUCCAUGCCUCCCCACAGUCCCCGUUUCUCCUCAGUCCCCUCGUAGGGACCCCCACAAUCUCCCCUCGCAGUCCCACCAUGGAUGGCUCAUUGGCCCUUCAGAGUCUCCCUUCAGUCCCUCAGAUCCCUCACUUCAGUCGUUUGCCAGUCUCCCCCCACAUCCCCUCUCUGACUCCCCUCGGAUGUCGCAGUGCCCCCGCACAGUGUCCCCUCCAUGUCUGCCCAUGAUCCCCCCUUCCCCUCUCAGUCCUUUCAGAGUCACCCACACAAUCUCCCCUUUCAGUCCCACCACGGAUGGCUCAAUGCCUCCUCAUAGUCUUUCCUCCCCACAUACUCCUAAGAGCCCUCACCCCUGUCUCUCCUCUCAAUCCCACCAUGGAUGUCCCCUCUCAUCUCUCCCUGAAUCGUCCUCAAUUUUCCCUCUCAGACACCUAUCAGUCUCUCACAGUUGUAUUUCCAGUUUGCCUUCUCAGUCUCACCAUAGAUGUCCCCUCUCAAUGCCCCCUUCACAGCCAUCCCCCUCACAGUCUCCCUUCUCAGUUUCCCCUCAGUCACCUCUCAACUUCCCUUCUCAGUCCACAGACAGGAUCUCUCUCAAUGUCCCCCUCAGCAUGUCCCCUCUCAGUUACCCCCUGCAGUUCCCCCUCUCAAUUCUACUGUGGACAUUCCCUCUCAAUGCGC
rnacentral:lncRNA from 1 species